CUGAGCUCUAAUCGCACAACAGUUUCAUAAUCAUGUUCUCUCAGAAAGUUCCAUGGUCCACCCCUCUGGAACAAAAUAAAAUGAUUUCCAGAAAGAGGGCCUUUGUGGAACCAGCUCACUGCAGUCCAUUCUAGAGUAAAGAAUCUGUGAUUUUGUUGGUUCUACUUCAAAGACUGGUGAAUUUUCUAAUCAGUGAAGAAGACAUUCAGUUGACCCACUCUAGCGUUGGAAGAUCUGCCAUUUAAAGAAUGAAGUGGAAGUAUAUAAAACAUGUAUAGGCUAGCUCAAACUUUAUCCAUGUCCCCUACUCCACCUCAGCUGUACCAGAAGGCUUGUGGAUGAAUGAUAAAGAAUGAUUUGUUAUGGCAUGAAAAUCAUCAUUUCAAGAACUUCUUGGCAGGAGCUAAGUGUUCCCAGGUGCCCUGUAUGCUGGUUGGACAAACUCACAUGGUUUUGGCCACUGAGAGUCUCACUCAGAGCAACUGAGAGAAGCUGUCAGGAGCCCAGAAACUACCCACUGCGGAUACAGAUGAGCUCAGUGACUCAGUCUGGACUGAAAAAGGAGAGGAGUUUGUUCUUAUUGUCAAGAUGGCAAUGGGAAAGAUAUGCUUACAGCAUCUGGGAAUUGAAACUUCUUUUGGAGCUUCUUUUUUGAAAUCAGAUCAUCCAUUGCCUCAAGCCUCAAGUUGAUAUCAAGGACACUGGAAGUCAGCACACCCUGGAUGCUACAAACUUAUGAUGUUCUUGAGAAAAAAGACUAAGCCUUACUGAUUUCUCUAGACCCAGAGUUACGCCCACCCCACUGUCACCCAUGCAUAGAUGUCUGGAAAGGACUGAAGCCCUCCAUUCUGUUCCUGCCCUGAAAGUGGGGCAUUCCGGGAACCAGAACGUUGGCACCAUCCUCUCCACUCUGGGCUUUGGAAACAGGGCAUCAUGAGUUGUUCUCCACUAAGAGGCUGUGAAGAGUCACUACAAAUCCUGUUCUCAUCCCUCUUUGUGUUAAAAAAUGAGUCUCCUGUCCAGA